GACGAAGGGGGCUAGCGUUGUUCGGAAUUACUGGGCGUAAAGCGCGUGUAGGCGGUUGUCCAAGUUGGAUGUGAAAGCCUUGAGCUUAACUCAAGAAAUGCAUUCAGGACUGGAUGACUAGAGGACCGGAGAGGAUAGUGGAAUUCCCAGUGUAGUGGUGAAAUACGUAGAGAUUGGGAAGAACACCAGUGGCGAAGGCGGCUAUCUGGACGGUUUCUGACGCUGAGACGCGAAAGCGUGGGGAGCAAACAGG
rnacentral:rRNA from 1 species